rnacentral:lncRNA from 1 species
AAACACGAAUGAGUAAUAUAUAUACCAUAACCAUCCCCGAACGAUCCGUUGCCAAGCCUCUGGGUCCAUCUGGCUUUCCUUUUCACUCAUCAUUCUAUUUAUAGCCUGCUACGGUGAUGCAACAACACUGGUAAAGGGCUAAACACCAUGGUCGAAUAUGCAAAACCCAAAUAACACUACAACAGAAGAUUCAUAUGUCACGAGUAGUCUAGUACAUCCCUUCAUCCACAGAGUACGUACUACAUAAUUUACAAUACAAAACUGCCUCUGACCUUUCCAUACAAAUAUCCCAUGCUAUCAAAAUCUAACAAUGCUUACUGUUUUUCUUCUUCUUCAGUUCUUCUUCUAGGUACUUCUCUAUCACCAUACUUGAUCAAACGGCAAAAUAUUCUCACACUAUCCCGUUGGGCAUACUACCAAGUCCAUUUCAUUCAUCCUCACAGACACAAGCUCCUCCAAUUGUAAAUUAAUCAAUGCAGCCGCAGAAUCGAAUAGCAGAUUGAUUGUAUGACAGCAGAUUCUAUGCAUGUCUCAACUGAAAUAUAAAGGAUGCUUGUCAAUUCCCAUU